rnacentral:rRNA from 1 species
GGCUCAUCACAUCCUGGGGCUGUAGUAGGUCCCAAGGGUUGGGCUGUUCGCCCAUUAAAGUGGUACGCGAGCUGGGUUCAGAACGUCGUGAGACAGUUCGGUCCCUAUCCGUCGCAGGCGUAGGAAAGUUGAGAAGACCUGUCCUUAGUACGAGAGGACCGGGAUGGACGUACCUCUGGUGUACCAGUUGUCCUGCCAAGGGCAUGGCUGGGUAGCUAUGUACGGAAUGGAUAAGCGCUGAAAGCAUCUAAGCGCGAAGCCAACUUCAAGAUAAGAUUUCCCACCGCAAGGGUAAGACCCCAGAAAGACUA